rnacentral:rRNA from 1 species
UAGUAACAGAGGGUCGAUUAUGGCUCAGAUUGAACGCUGGCGGGAUGCUUUACACAUGCAAGUCGGAACGGCAGCACGGACUUCGGUCUGGUGGCGAGUGGCGAACGGGUAGCAAUGUAUCGGAACGUGCCUAGUAGCGGGGGAUAACUACGCGAAAGCAGUAGCUAAUACCGCAUACGCCCUUCGGGGAAAGCGGGGGACCUUCGCUUCCGCACUAUUAGAGUGGCCUAUAUUCGAUUAGCUAGUUGGUGGGGUAACGGCUCACCAAGGCGACGAUCCGUAGCUGGUUUGAGAGGACGCAUCAGCCACACUGGGACCGAGACACGGCCCAGACUUACGGGAAAGGCAGGGAAAUUUUGGACAAUGGGGGAAACCCUGAUCCAGCCAUCCCGCGUGCGAUGAAGGCCUUCGGUUGGUAAAGCACUUUGGCAGAAGAAACGGCACGGGAUAAUACCCCGUGCAACUGACGGUACCUGCAGAACAAGCACCGGCUACGCAACACAGCAGCCGCGAAUACGUAGGCGCAAGCGUUAAUCGGAAUUACUGGGCGUAAAGCGUGCGCAGGCGGUUCGGAAAGAAAGAUGUGAAAUCCCAGAGCUUUAACUUUGAACUGCAUUUUUAACUACCAGCUGAGUGUGCUUUGGGAGGGAGGUGGAAUUCGCGUAGCAGUGAAAUGCGUAGAUAUGCGGAGGAACACUGAUGGCGAAGGCAGCCUCCUGGGAUAACACUGACGCCUAUGCACGAAAGCGUAAGCAAACAGGAUUAGAUGAACUGGCGGUCCACGCCCUAAACGAUGUCAACUAGCUGUUGGGGCCUUCGGGCCUUGGUAGCGCAGCUAACGGGUGAAGUUGACCGCCUGGGGAGUACGGUCGCAAAGAUUAAAACUCAAAGGAAUUGACGGGGACUCCGCACAAGCGGCAGAUGAUGUGAUUAACGACGUAAUCACAAAAACCUUACCUACCCUUGACAUGUCUGCAACCUGAAGAGAUUUGAGCGUUCGCAAGAGAACCGGAACACAGGUGUUGCAUGGCUGUCGUCAGCUCGCUCAUGAGAUGUUGGGGUUAAGUCCCGCAACGAGCGGCAACCCUUUGUCAUUAGUUGCUACGAAAGGGCACUCUAAUGAGAGACUGCCGGUGACAAAUCCGGAGGAACGUGUAUGACGUGUCAAGUCCCCAUGGCCCUAUGGGUAGGGCUUCACACGUCAUACAAUGGUCGGGACACGAGGGCUGCCAACCCGCGAGGGGGGAGCCAAUCCCAGAAACCCGAUCGUAGUCCGGAUCGUGGUCUGCAACUCGACUGCGUGAAGUCGGAAUCGCUAGUAAUCGCGGAUCAGCAUGUCGCGGUGAAUACGUUCCCGGGUCUUGUACACACCGCCCGUCACACCAUGGGGAGGCUUUACCAGAAGUAGUUAGCCUAACCGUAAGGAGGGCGAUUACCACGGUAGGAUUCAUGACUGGGGUGAAGUUGUAACAAGGUAA